rnacentral:lncRNA from 1 species
AACAGGGCCACAUUUAAAAGAAUGUCUGUUUCCCCUCCCCCAGGUCUACCCUUUGUAAACAGACCAGGAAAGCAGGUUCUUUUUUUUUUUUUUUUUUUUUACUGGAUGUGAUUGUCAUAGCAUGGUCACAUGAAUGGUUUGACUUGUCCAGUCCAGGCCACUUAUCAGUUGUUUGUGCUCAAUUUGAGUGUAUUUAUUUAGAUUAUCAAUCCUUCUGCUUUCAAGCACUUUCCAAAAAUGGAA